rnacentral:rRNA from 1 species
ACGGGGACCCGCACAAGUAGCGGAGCAUGUGGUUUAAUUCGAAGCAACGCGAAGAACCUUUACCAGGUCUUGACAUCCUCCUGAAUAAGCCUUAGCCGGCUUAGCUUUUCGGAGCAGGAGAGACAGGUGCUGCAUGGCUGUCGUCAGCUCGUGUCGUGAGAUGUUGGGUUAAGUCCCGCAACGAGCGCGACCCUCAUCCUUAGUUGCCAUCGCGUUGGGGUGGGCACUCUAGGAAACUGCCGGUGACAAGCCGGAGGAAGUGGGGAUGACGUCAAGUCCUCAUGGCCCUUACGGGCUGGGCUACACACGUACUACAAUGGCGGUGACAGAGGGCGCGCGAUGGGGUGACCCGGAGCCAAUCUCGAAAAGCCGUCUCAGUUCGGAUUGCACUCUGCAACUCGAGUGCAUGAAGUUGGAAUCGCUAGUAAUCGCGGAUCAGCGUGCCGCGGUGAAUACGUUCCCGGGCCUU